rnacentral:rRNA from 1 species
GCGACCCCAGGACGGGCGAGGCCACCC